rnacentral:rRNA from 1 species
UACGUAGGGGGCAAGCGUUAUCCGGACUUACUGGGUGUAAAGGGGGCGCAGACGGCGAUGCAAGCCAGGAGUGAAAGCCCGGGGCCCAACCCCGGGACUGCUCUUGGAACUGCGUGGCUGGAGUGCAGGAGGGGCAGGCGGAAUUCCUGGUGUAGCGGUGAAAUGCGUAGAUAUCAGGAGGAACACCGGUGGCGAAGGCGGCCUGCUGGACUGCAACUGACGUUGAGGCCCGAAAGCGUGGGGAGCAAACAGG